rnacentral:rRNA from 1 species
UACGGGGGGGGGCAAGCGUUGUUCGGAAUUACUGGGCGUAAAGGGCUCGUAGGCGGCCAACUAAGUCGGAUGUGAAAUCCCCAGGCUUAACCUGGGAACUGCAUCCGAUACUGGAUGGCUUGAAUCCGGGAGAGGGAUGCAGAAUUCCAGGUGUAGCGGUGAAAUGCGUAGAUAUCGGGAGGAACACCGGUGGCGAAGGCGGCGACCUGGGUCGAGACUGACGCUGAGGCAGCGAAAGCGUGGGGAGCGAAACAGG